rnacentral:rRNA from 1 species
CUACGGGUCGCUCCAGUGAGGAAUAUUGCACAAUGGGGGGAACCCUGAUGCAGCAAUGCCGCGUGGAGGAUGACGCAUUUCGGUGUGUAAACUCCUUUUAUAUGUCAAGAAAAUGACGGUAGCAUAUGAAUAAGCACCGGCUAACUCCGUGCCAGCAGCCGCGGUAAUACGGAGGGUGCAAGCGUUACUCGGAAUCACUGGGCGUAAAGGACGCGUAGGCGGGUUGGAAAGUCAGGUGUGAAAUCCUACAGCUUAACUGUAGAACUGCACUUGAAACUUCUAAUCUAGAGUAUGGGAGGGGGAGAUGGAAUUAGUGGUGUAGGGGUAAAAUCCGUAGAUAUCACUAGGAAUACCUAAAGCGAAGGCGAUCUCCCGGAACAUUACUGACGCUAAGGCGUGAAAGCGUGGGGAGCAAACAGGAUUAGAUACCCGUGUAGUC